UACGGAGGGAGCUAGCGUUGUUCGGAAUUACUGGGCGUAAAGCGCGCGUAGGCGGCUUUGUAAGUUAGAGGUGAAAGCCCGGGGCUCAACUCCGGAAUUGCCUUUAAGACUGCAUCGCUAGAAUUGUGGAGAGGUAAGUGGAAUUCCGAGUGUAGAGGUGAGAUUCGUAGAUAUUCGGAAGAACACCAGUGGCGAAGGCGACUUACUGGACACAUAUUGACGCUGAGGUGCGAAAGCGUGGGGAGCAAACAGG
rnacentral:rRNA from 1 species